AACGAACGCUGGCGGCAGGCUUAACACAUGCAAGUCGAGCGCCGUAGCAAUACGGAGCGGCAGACGGGUGAGUAACGCGUGGGAAUCUACCCAUCACUACGGAACAACUCCGGGAAACUGGAGCUAAUACCGUAUACGUCCUUCGGGAGAAAGAUUUAUCGGUGAUGGAUGAGCCCGCGUUGGAUUAGCUAGUUGGUGGGGUAAUGGCCCACCAAGGCGACGAUCCAUAGCUGGUCUGAGAGGAUGAUCAGCCACACUGGGACUGAGACACGGCCCAGACUCCUACGGGAGGCAGCAGUGGGGAAUAUUGGACAAUGGGCGCAAGCCUGAUCCAGCCAUGCCGCGUGAGUGAUGAAGGCCCUAGGGUUGUAAAGCUCUUUCACCGGUGAAGAUAAUGACGGUAACCGGAGAAGAAGCCCCGGCUAACUUCGUGCCAGCCGCCGCCGUAACAC
rnacentral:rRNA from 1 species